CCCCCAUCCAUCCCCCCCUUCCCCCCAUCCCCCACCCAACCCCAUCUGCCCCCCAUCCCCCAUCCACAGCCACUGAGCCCCACAACCCACACCAAUGUGCUCAUCCCUAAACCCAUUGGGUUUUACCCUCCCCCACCCCCAUCCCUGAGCUCUCAUCCCUCUUCCCACCCCCUCUAUACACCCAGACCCCCCUUCAUACCCCCCCUUCCACACCCACACCCCCUCCCUGUGCCCCCCACCCAGGAGUAUCCGAGAGAUGCCCCCCGACCCCCCAUACGUCCCAGUAUCCUACAAAGCUCCGGAGCCUUGGGCAGAGCACAGCAGACCCCGAGCGCUGCCCCCCGUCCAACACAAACCUCCUUCAGACUACGGUGAGCCACGGGGUGGGGGGGUCCAUGGGGUGGGGGGCAGGUGGGCGCUGUGUGUCCUGCUGGCAGCAUCCCACCUCCCCCAUAGGAGCGGAGCAGAACAAGUGGAUGGGCCCCAAUGGAGAGACCAUGUCGGACCCUGAACGUGACGUGUUGGUCCUCAAUCACGUGCUGGGAGAUAUGGACCUUUUUGUGGGGCGGCUGCAGGGCAGCGCAGGGAGCACCAAAACCCCAAAGAAGAAGAAGAAGAAGAAGAAGAAGAAAGGUGGGGGGGUGAGGGGGGGGCAGUGCUCAGGGUGCGAUGGGGCUCUGGGGGCUCCUUCAGCGCCACCCCCUCUGUAUUCCUCCCCCCC
rnacentral:lncRNA from 1 species